AAUACAUCAACAACAAAGUCACUAAUCAUUUUGGCCACUUUUGCCACAUUGGCUUCACAGAACUAAACCAUAGAUGUAAAGGUGAAGAGUGUUGGCAAAUACACUUUCUGCCAUGUGGAAAAAGCUGGCCUUCAGUGAAAGGGAGAAAUGCAGCAGACACACAUGGAGACUCUGAGGCAAGAAACAAAGGAAUGCUUGUGAUUUUUCGAAAGCUAGCAGAAGGCAAGAAAUAACUAAGAUCAGAGCAGAACUGAAGGAGAUAGAGAUACAAAAAACCCUUCAAAAAAUCAAUGAAUCCAGGAG